GUGCCUUCUUUGGCAGCAUGUAUAUUAAAAAUUGGAAGGAUACAGAGAUUAGCACUUCCCCUGCCAAGGAUGACAUGUAAAUUCAUGAAACAUUCCAUUUUUAA